rnacentral:rRNA from 1 species
GACGAACGCUGGCGGCGUGCUUAACACAUGCAAGUCGAGCGGAAAGGCCCUUCGGGGUACUCGAGCGGCGAACGGGUGAGUAACACGUGAGUAACCUGCCCCUGACUCUGGGAUAAGCCCGGGAAACUGGGUCUAAUACCGGAUACGACACCUCCUGGCAUCGGGUUGGGUGUGGAAAGUUUUUUCGGUUGGGGAUGGACUCGCGGCCUAUCAGCUUGUUGGUGGGGUAGUGGCCUACCAAGGCGACGACGGGUAGCCGGCCUGAGAGGGCGACCGG